rnacentral:lncRNA from 1 species
AGUUCAAAUAUAUGGGCCGGACUUGAGCCGCCACAGCCCAACGAAGGCACGACAUGUUGUAAGGCCGAACUAGACCACUUUUCUACUCUUUGAGCUGGCACGACAUUACCUAAAAAAUUACGCUUUUUUGAUCAAACUCGUUUAACCCAAAGCACGAUAUACUUAGAUCGAUCCGACUCGACCCAACCUAAUUCCGAGCACUAUCCAUAGCCAUAGCCAUAGCCAUAGGGCCUCGCGUGGGGUGGUUUGGCGUACCAUAUUACCAUGUUAAUGCUCCAAUUAUUAUUAGUUUUGAUUUGAUUAUUAACUGCAAAGUUCCUAGAGUCUCGAGACUGAUCUUCUUUUCUUUUAUAUUAUCUCUUUUUUUUUGUUAUUUUUCUACUAGUACUACAUAAUUUAGGACUUGGCCGUUUCUAUUUUUUUCAAAUCUUCUUUUAAGAAUGUAUCAAUUCGCAUGUGUUUCAUUAAGAGAGAAGUUUAAAUCAUUUAAGGCACGUACAGCCUAAAUUACAUAAAUAAUUCGUAUCGCAAGGGAUAUCUAAAGGAUAAAUACAAAAUCACAAGAUAUGUAUUUUGGUGAAGGAACAUAUCUAACCCUGUUCUAUAAAGUAUAAGAUAUAGUUCCACCCAUACAAUCUACAUAAGAUCUUGUUUAGCUGAGCUGGAUUUAGCCUACAUGAUGGUUUAAUCCAUGGAUGUCAUUCUGGACCAGAUCAAAUAUAAGUCCACACAAACCAUGGUUAUAUCUGUGGUUAGAUCGUAAUCUAAUUGAUCAGAUGGUUUGCCUGCAUGUUUAUAAAGAAGGAUAGCUUGCAUAGUAAUCGUUGCCACAGUUUAGUCCACAUGUGUUUGCAAACUUAGCCCAAUAAAAAAAAAACUGAAUGCCGACCUGGAAUUAGUCUACGACUCAAUAGCCGUGGAAUCCAUCCCGGCCACGGUCGGAGGAAGUGACUCCGCCGCGGGCCGCCAUCUUCGUCGGUGAUCUUUUCUCCUGUGAGUUUGUCCUUUACUUCUUUCUCCUCUCCUCUCCCAUGUCCUACGGUUUCGAUUUCUUGCUGUAGUGUCCUGCCGAGGCGUGCCGGAUGGCGUUCAGCCGGGCAGAGGUGAACGCUGGCGAGGUCGCGGCGCUCACCUGCAGCACUCAGAGUUGCUUAGCCGCGGCGCGCGCACGUGGUUUUGCGGCUGGGCGUAGUGAGUGGUGAAGGCGCGGCUGGCCACUCACCUUUCGAAACCCCAAAUCCUCCCAGACCCAAAACGAUUCAGAGAUGGUUCAGAGAGUUCAGAGCACCUGAAUGAUUUAGCUUUGCAGUAUCUUUUUUGAGAUCUUUAAUUAAAGAUGGCAUCUCUCUGAAUUGAACAACUGUCUUUAGGAUGGAGGGAGUACUACAAAACCACAACAUCUUGUUUGUAGACAAGGAGUGCGAUGCAUUUAUUAGGAAGAAAAUGGAAGAAUACUAGAGGCAAGGCACCAAGUUGGCCAGAUUACCCAGGUCGAUACAAAUUAAAAAGGUAUCCAUGCAGGUCAUAGUAACGAAGAAGGAAUAGUAUAGUAAAAUGGAUGUAAAGAAUAUCCUCUCCCCUGCCCUGACUGCUAUUGCGUAAGAGUGCAGCAGCUGCCGUGCGGGGAUUAUUUACAUGGUUUCCAACAACGGACUAGGAAACAGACAUGUACUAUAUGUUGGGUUUAGGAGCUUAGUGAAGAGGUAGCGUGGCACCUACAUGUAACGUCACAAAUUAAAGGUACAUCUCGCCAUCAGAUAGCUGAAAAAACUAUCAGAAUUUAAACAAAGCUCUUCAGUUGGAGGGACAUAGAUAGUUGUAUUGUACAAGCAAACUAUUUUAUAACCCGGUUCUCAUGUCUGUGUAUCGGGUGGCCAUGAGGAGCAGCACCUCUCCAGGAAUUGGUCAUUGGAUAGCAGUAUAUUAGAAACUCUGAAGACCACAUCUUGCUGUAUCUUUGUAUAGCAGUGUAUUAGAACCUCUGAAUUGGAUACCAGCUCUCCAUGAGGAGCAGCAACUCUCCACGAACCUGGUUCUCUCCGGGUGUUGUUUCUCCUAGUUCCAUAUCUUGUUGUGUCUUUGUAUGGUUGUUGCUUCUGCAAGAGCUGUAUUGUUGGUACAUGUGUGAACUUUGAUCACCCUAUUUUUAUGUAUUUUUGCACAGCAAGUCAACAAUCAAGGCAACGAUCUACCACAAAACUUUGUUGAUCUACCAGAUGGCGAUCAAGACAACGAUCAAGAAAAUGUACAAGGCAAUAAUCUUAGAGAUGCAAUAGCACAAGAAACGUGGAAUGAUUACCAACAACAUAAAAAUUAGUGGUACAUUUGUUGAGCUAUUUGUUCGUAGAAACUGUCUUUGUUUAUUGUUGCUUCCUAAUGAAAAACAUGUUACAGAUGAGCUUACUUUGAAGAUAUGGUUCCCUGUAACCACUAUGCCUCCUAAUUAUGUCAUGUUGCUGUUUAUGUCAUAUAUGUUGCUUCCUAAUUAGUGGUACAUUUGUUGUGGUAUUGUUGCUUCCUAAUUCUGUUGUGUGUGUAUUGCUUACUCUGAAGAUCUGGUUGGUUUGUAACUACAAGUAGGACAUAGAUUCUUUAUUUUGUGAAAUGUUUCAGUUAUAGCAGGUUUUAUAAACAGCGGCAUUCAUCGUUUUAUAUGCAUGCAGUGCCACAUUUCAUAAUAUGUGGUGCAUUGAUCUUUUUAUAUGCAUGCAACAUAUGAAUACACAUGGUGUAAGCGAACAUUGAAAAAUGAGUCAUGUAGUAUUAAAUCCUAGCUCCUAGCUGUAACUGAAAUACACAUGGUGUAAGUGACAUGGGAUGGGAUUCACUCCAUCCCAAUGUGUAUUGGAUUCAAGUGUGUAUUAAAUACUAGUAUGUCGAAAAAGGCCUAAAUGAGCCAUGUCUUGAGGGGUCUAAUGAAUAAGAUACAAUGCUUAAAAUACAUCGGGUUGUAUGAACGAGUUUCUUAGAAGUAUCUAAUACUUAGAGAACCACAACAUAGUAUCUAGGUUAUACAUACCCUUACAACGCAAAAUCGGCUUCGGAGUUCAGACACAUGGGACAUAGGCAGUACAAACCAGACACGCAACACUUAGACAAGCACGGAAUGGACG